rnacentral:rRNA from 1 species
UACGAAGGGGGCUAGCGUUGCUCGGAAUCACUGGGCGUAAAGCGCACGUAGGCGGUUUCUUAAGUCAGGGGUGAAAUCCCGGAGCUCAACUCCGGAACUGCGUUUGAUACUGGGGGACUUGAGUUCGGGAGAGGUGAGUGGAACUGCGAGUGUAGAGGUGAAAUUCGUAGAUAUUCGCAAGAACACCAGUGGCGAAGGCGGCUCACUGGCCCGAUACUGACGCUGAGGUGCGAAAGCGUGGGGAGCAAACAGG